rnacentral:rRNA from 1 species
AGAGUUUGAUCCUGGCUCAGGACGAACGCUGGCGGCGUGCUUAACACAUGCAAGUCGAACGAUGAACCACUUCGGUGGGGAUUAGUGGCGAACGGGUGAGUAACACGUGGGCAAUCUGCCCUGCACUCUGGGACAAGCCCUGGAAACGGGGUCUAAUACCGGAUAACACUCCCGCACUCAUGUGUGGGGGUUAAAAGCUCCGGCGGUGCAGGAUGAGCCCGCGGCCUAUCAGCUUGUUGGUGAGGUAAUGGCUCACCAAGGCGACGACGGGUAGCCGGCCUGAGAGGGCGACCGGCCACACUGGGACUGAGACACGGCCCAGACUCCUACGGGAGGCAGCAGCGGGGAAUAUUGCACGAUGGGCGAAAGCCUGAUGCAGCGACGCCGCGUGAGGGAUGACGGCCUUCGGGUUGUAAACCUCUUUCAGCAGGGAAGAAGCGAAAGUGACGGUACCUGCAGAAGAAGCGCCGGCUAACUACGUGCCAGCAGCCGCGGUAAUACGUAGGGCGCAAGCGUUGUCCGGAAUUAUUGGGCGUAAAGAGCUCGUAGGCGGCUUGUCACGUCGGGUGUGAAAGCCCGGGGCUUAACCCCGGGUCUGCAUUCGAUACGGGCUAGCUAGAGUGUGGUAGGGGAGAUCGGAAUUCCUGGUGUAGCGGUGAAAUGCGCAGAUAUCAGGAGGAACACCGGUGGCGAAGGCGGACCUCUGGGCCAUUACUGACGCUGAGGAGCGAAAGCGUGGGGAGCGAACAGGAUUAGAUACCCUGGUAGUCCACGCCGUAAACGGUGGGAGCUAGGUGUUGGCGACAUUCCACGUCGUCGGUGCCGCAGCUAACGCAUUAAGUUCCCCGCCUGGGGAGUACGGCCGCAAGGCUAAAACUCAAAGGAAUUGACGG